AAGGGAGAAGACCUUUCUGGAAUAAGUAAAAGUGAAGCUCUUUCUUGAAGAGCCCGAGCAGCCUCUGUGCAGCUCUCUGGCCUCCACUGAGGCUUCUGCUGACCACCAUUCUCUUCACUCCUCCUGGCGGUGAGACUCCAGAACCUUCUGCCGCAGCAAUCCUGCCUCAUUUCCAAGCAGGACCACCCCCUGUGGCCAAGCCGCCUCCACCUCUCCCGACCCCUGCUGAGCUGUCCUUCCUGGGUGGAGCUCCUUGAGGUCCCGUGAAGUCCCUGCAGUUAAGCACCCAGUGGGAAGAAAGUCGCCUUCCACCGUCAGACCCUCUCCUGCAGCCGGAGUGGGGAAGGCCCAUGAGAGUCUGGUUGUCAACCUGCCAUGUUUCAACAAGGAAGUUGCCAAUGAAGUCUUGUGCAAAGGACCGGCCAACCCCAUUCUGUUCUCCCUCCCUGCUUCAAGAAGUCCCCUCCAAGAGGCCUGCUCCUUGGGAAUGUCCACCGGCCAUGCCUGCCUGAUGUCCACUACACGGGGAGAAGCCAGGCCUUUAACCACCUCUGCCAGGCUACGAUGCACAACACGUCCACUCACAACCCACGGACGGCUCAUGACAGCUCUUGGUGAGCGCAGCUCUCUCUGCUUCCUGGUUGCCGUGUCCUGAGCUGCGUUCCUCCUCCAUGCCCUUCCACCUUGGUACCUGGUGGGGCCAGGACCGUGCACCUGUGCUCUCACCUCUGUCACAGAGCAUCGGAGUCACCGACCAUGGGCUGAACCUCUGAAACCUUGAGCCAAAAUAAACUUUUCCUCUUCUACAUUGUUAUUGUCGGGUCCUUUGGUCACAGCAACAAAAAAGCUGACCCAAACCAUCAGAGUGAGCAUGGGUCCAGGUGAAGCAGCAGAAGCUAAUGCAAGAGCCGGCCUUGCAGGAAGUCCAGCGUUCAGGAACCAGGAGGGUAGAGGCACCACGAUCCGCUCUUAGGGAGAGACCUGCAGGAAAAGCGUUUGUGACCCAUUGAGAUAGGGCUGGGAUACAUGUCCCGGGUUCCUCCUCGGCAAAAUGAGUUCUGGCACCAGGAUUAAAUGAGAUAAUGUGAUGAAAAUAUUUUAGACUCUCCGAGAAUUACAGAUAGCUGUGGGCUGGUGCUGGAAAUGGGUUAAAGAUCCCACAUGCAAAGACUGGUGUGGCUGGCAACCUGGACCAAACUGGCUGCUGGUUCAGGAAAUACCACCCCUGUGUUUUUCCUCCUCUUUACUGUUCUUUGGCAGUCUGACUGCACAGGGGGCAGUUCAACCUGUGUCUUUGCUGGACUAAGAGAAGUGACGCAGAGCCUGGAGAACAACAAGCUGCCACCCAGAUGGUGGCUUUGACCAAGUCCUCUCCCUGGCCUGCAGCACUGAUUGAUCCCUGGGUACAAUAUGGCUUCCCUCUGGAGACUUUUUUACCUUUGCGAUCUUUGUGCCAAACUGGCUAUUUGUGGGAGGUCACUGCUGUAGAUACUGGACCUUAAAGUUAUUCGAUAUCUAGAGUAUUAAAACAUUUAAAAGUUCUA